rnacentral:rRNA from 1 species
UACGUAGGGGGCAAGCGUUGUCCGGAUUUAUUGGGCGUAAAGAGCUCGUAGGCGGUUCGACAAGUCGGAUGUGAAAUCUCCACGCUCAACGUGGAGGGGCCAUUCGAAACUGUCGUGACUUGAGUCCGGAAGAGGAGAGUGGAAUUCCUGGUGUAGCGGUGAAAUGCGCAGAUAUCAGGAAGAACACCCGUGGCUAAGGCGGCUCUCUAGUACGGUACUGACGCUGAGACGCGAAAGCGUGGGGAGCAAACAGG